GGGGAUGUGGCUUUGUGGAAUAGCCUCUGCUUAGCAUGCAUGAGGUCCCAGGUUCGAUCCCUGGCAUCUCCA